rnacentral:rRNA from 1 species
AGCCUGAACGCUGGCGGCGUGGCUAAGACAUGCAAGUCGAACGGGUGUAGCAAUACACCAGUGGCGGACGGGUGAGUAAUGAAUCGCUAAUGUACCCCGGAGCCAGAGAUAGCUGCCCGAAAGGGCAGGUAAUACCUGAUGAGACCACAGUACCGCAUGGUACGAUGCUCAAAGCCGCAAGGCACUCUGGGAGCAGGCGAUUUUGUAUCAGCUAGUUGGUGAGGUAACGGCUCACCAAGGCUUUGACGGGUAGCUGGUCUGAGAGGACGACCAGUCACACUGGAACUGAGACACGGUCCAGACACCUACGGGUGGCAGCAGUCGAGAAUUUUUCUCAAUGGGGGAAACCCUGAAGGAGCGACGCCGCGUGGAGGAUGAAGGUCUUCGGGUUGUAAACUCCUGUCAUUUGGGAACAAGUGCCGAUAAUUAACUACUGUCGGCUUGAUAGUACCAGAAGAGGAAGAGACGGCUAACUCUGUGCCAGCA